rnacentral:rRNA from 1 species
AUUGAACGCUGGCGGCAGGCCUAACACAUGCAAGUCGAGCGGAUGAAGGGAGCUUGCUCCUGGAUUCAGCGGCGGACGGGUGAGUAAUGCCUAGGAAUCUGCCUGGUAGUGGGGGAUAACGUCCGGAAACGGGCGCUAAUACCGCAUACGUCCUGAGGGAGAAAGUGGGGGAUCUUCGGACCUCACGCUAUCAGAUGAGCCUAGGUCGGAUUAGCUAGUUGGUGGGGUAAAGGCCUACCAAGGCGACGAUCCGUAACUGGUCUGAGAGGAUGAUCAGUCACACUGGAACUGAGACACGGUCCAGACUCCUACGGGAGGCAGCAGUGGGGAAUAUUGGACAAUGGGCGGAAGCCUGAUCCAGCCAUGCCGCGUGUGUGAAGAAGGUCUUCGGAUUGUAAAGCACUUUAAGUUGGGAGGAAGGGCAGUAAGUUAAUACCUUGCUGUUUUGACGGUACCAAAAGAAUAAGCACCGGCUAACUUCGUG